GUCUGGUGAUUCUUCAUGAUUAGAUUGUGAGUUUUUGGUGAGAAUUCCUGGAAGUGAUAUGGUGUCACCCUCAUAUAUUUAGAUGGUGCAUUAUGUUGAAUUUAAACAGCUGUUAGGACUUCUGAACACACCCCAUGGUGCAAAGUACCCAUCGAUUUUUUUUUUUUU